AUUGAACGCUGGCGGCAGGCUUAACACAUGCACGUCGAACGAGUGGCGGACGGGUGAGUAAUGCCUGGGAAUCUAUCCUAUGGAGGGGGAUAUCUACGGGAAACUGUAUCAAAUACCGCGUACCAUAGGAUGAGCCCAAGUGGGAUUAGGUAGUUGUUGAGGUAAAGGCUCACCAAGCCGACGAUCUAUAGCUGGUCUGAGAGGAUGACCCGCCAAACUGGGACGGUGACACGACCCUGACUCCUCCGAGAGGCAGCAGUGGGGAAUAUGGCGCGAUGGGGGCAACCUGACGCAGCCAUGCCGCGUGGAUGAAGAAGGCCUUCGGGUUGUAAAGUACUUUCUGUAGCGAGGCGUUAACGACAGGAGAAGCACCGGCUAACUCCGUGCCAUCCGCCGCGGUAAUUC
rnacentral:rRNA from 1 species